AUCUUUGGGAGCUUGCUCCCGAAGGUUAGCGGCGGACGGGUGAGUAACACGUGGGCAACCUGCCUAUAAGACUGGGAUAACUUCGGGAAACCGGAGCUAAUACCGGAUAAUUCUUUUCUACACAUGUAGAAAAGCUAAAAGACGGUUUACGCUGUCACUUAUAGAUGGGCCCGCGGCGCAUUAGCUAGUUGGUGAGGUAACGGCUCACCAAGGCCACGAUGCGUAGCCGACCUGAGAGGGUGAUCGGCCACACUGGGACUGAGACACGGCCCAGACUCCUACGGGAGGCAGCAGUAGGGAAUCUUCCGCAAUGGACGAAAGUCUGACGGAGCAACGCCGCGUGAGUGAUGAAGGUUUUCGGAUCGUAAAACUCUGUUGUUAGGGAAGAACAAGUACGAGAGUAACUGCUCGUACCUUGACGGUA
rnacentral:rRNA from 1 species